rnacentral:rRNA from 1 species
UACGUAGGCAGCGAGCGUUGUUCGGAGUUACUGGGCGUAAAGGGCGCGUAGGCGGCCCGCUAAGUCGAACGUGAAAUCCCCGAGCUCAACUCGGGAACUGCGUCCGAUACUGGCGGGCUUGAAUCCGGAAGAGGCGAGUGGAAUUCCUGGUGUAGCGGUGAAAUGCGCAGAUAUCAGGAGGAACACCCAUUGCGAAGGCAGCUCGCUGGGACGUUACUGACGCUGAGACGCGAAAGCGUGGGGAGCAAACAGG